UCUAGCAGAUGAGCGCGGAGCACGCUCCAA
rnacentral:sRNA from 1 species